rnacentral:lncRNA from 10 species
UGCCGGGACGGCGCAAGGUGGCUGAGCGAAGCUUUUUGCUCGGUGCUUACAGGGAGUACCUGAGAUGGUUUGGGAAAGGAAACAGGGGGUCUCAGACCGCUUGGGUGCAGCGCUCUCCCCAUGCGUUUGAGUGCAGAUCUGUCGAGACGCCCCAGCCCUCGCCACCCCACCAAGCUCUCAGGUAGAGAGGCCCCGGGACAGGAAACCUGUUUAUGCACCCUCCUGCAAUCCCACCACCUGCCCAGGCCAAGUGAGCCCCUCUCCGCUACUGGUGUUUCAUAAUGCUGGGAGCUACUUUGAUUUCAUGCAUUGCCCUUCAGCUGCCAUGUUAUGAGGACACUUGGAGAAAGCUACAGGAGAGGAACUGAGGUCUCCUGCCAUCAGCCACUUGAGUGAGCAUGGGAGUGGAUUCUCCAAACUCCAGUUAAGACUUGAGAUGUCCACAGUGGCAGCCACUAGCUUGACUGCAACUUACGAGAGACCCUGAGCCAGAGGCACUCAGUUAAGUCAUACACAGUUUCCUGACCCGUAAAACCUGUGACACAAUGAAGGUUUGUUGUUUUGGGGGUAAUCCGUUAUUCAGCAAUAGAUAACGAAUACAGAAGGCUUGUAAUUGUAUAACCAACGUGAGUUUAUAAGCGGAUAUCUGACCUCAUUUGUUUUCUCCUGAAAAAGUUAUAGAAAAAUCACAAGACUGCAAGUCACUCUCUCUCUUUCUUUUGUGGGGAAUAAACAAGUAUAAUUACAAUUUCUAAACCUAUUGUUUUAUUCUCAAAUAUAAUUACAAUUUAAACAGGAUAUUGUAGAGCUCCAUCAUAGGGAUUAACACUAAUUAGAAUUAAAG